UGGGGAAUCUUGCACAAUGGAGGCAACUCUGAUGCAGCGACGCCGCGUGAGCGAUGAAGCCCUUCGGGGUGUAAAGCUCUUUCGUCAGGGAAGAUAAUGACGGUACCUGGAGAAGCAGCUGCGGCUAACUACGUGCCAGCAGCCGCGGUAAUACGUAGGCAGCAAGCGUUGUUCGGAGUUACUGGGCGUAAAGGGUGUGUAGGCGGUCCUCUAAGUUUGGUGUGAAAUCUCCCGGCUCAACCGGGAGGGUGCGCCGAAGACUGGGGGACUAGAGUAUCGGAUGGGAGAGUGGAAUUCCUGGUGUAGCGGUGAAAUGCGUAGAUAUCAGGAGGAACACCUGCGGUGUAGACGGCUCUCUGGACGAUAACUGACGCUGAGACACGAAAGCGUGGGUAGCAAACA
rnacentral:rRNA from 1 species